rnacentral:tRNA from 1 species
GCCUGGGUGGCUCAGUUGGUUGAGCGUCUGACUUUGGCUCAGGUCAUGAUCUUGCAGUUCGUGGGUUUGAGCCCUGCAUCGGGCU